AACGAACGCUGGCGGCAUGCCUAACACAUGCAAGUCGAACGAGAUCCUUCGGGGUCUAGUGGCGCACGGGUGCGUAACGCGUGGGAAUCUGCCCUUAGGUUCGGAAUAACAGUUAGAAAUGACUGCUAAUACCGGAUGAUGACGUUAAGUCCAAAGAUUUAUCGCCUGAGGAUGAGCCCGCGUAGGAUUAGCUAGUUGGUGUGGUAAAGGCGCACCAAGGCGACGAUCCUUAGCUGGUCUGAGAGGAUGAUCAGCCACACUGGGACUGAGACACGGCCCAGACUCCUACGGGAGGCAGCAGUGGGGAAUAUUGGACAAUGGGCGCAAGCCUGAUCCAGCAAUGCCGCGUGAGUGAUGAAGGCCUUAGGGUUGUAAAGCUCUUUUAACCGAGAUGAUAAUGACAGUAUCGGGAGAAUAAGCCCCGGCUAACUCCGUG
rnacentral:rRNA from 1 species